UCCUUUGGGAUUCGGGAGCCUCUACCCAAUCCUUCAUUCAGAUCUUUCAUCUAGAUUCUUCCUAAAGUUGUCAUCCAUACAUGCCUUCCAGAAUUUCAUAGGGUGUAUAAUCACCAACAGCCCAGAAGAAGACAGUCAGUUGCCCUUUACAAGCAUGGUUGCGAUUGCCUCACUUCUCGUGUCAUGUGACGCGCCCAUAAUUAUCACGUGACACAUCCACUCCAUUUUGCCGGAAUUAACUCGCAGGGCUCACCUGGUACGUAUAGCUACCUCAGGCUCCUGCACCCCUGUUUUUAUUUAGCUGAUACUCUAUCCCUCCGAGGUUUGGGAACCCCGCAGUCUUCUCAUCUGGUGAUGGUGUUUUCAAGUCCUUCCAGAGAGGAGUGUCCCAAGCCCCAGGACAGAGUAAGCAUCAUGGCUCCCAGCCUCAUGGGAUUGCUUCUACUUCAGGCCGUGUCGUGGGCAUCAGGUGCCCGCCCCUGCAGCCCUAAAAGCUUUGGCUACAGCUCAGUGGUCUGUGUCUGCAAUGCUACGUACUGUGACUCUCUUGACCCCCUGACCCUGCCUGACCCUGGCACCUUCAGCCGCUUUGAGAGCACACGCAGUGGGCGCCGAAUGGAGCUGAGUCUGGGGACCAUCCAGGCCAACCGCACAGGCACAGGGCUGCUGUUGACCCUGCAGCCAGAUCAGAAGUUCCAGAAAGUGAAGGGUUUUGGAGGGGCCGUGACAGAUGCUGCUGCUCUCAACAUCCUUGCCCUGUCACCUCCUGCACGGGAUUUACUACUCAAAUCGUACUUCUCUAAAGAAGGAAUCGAAUACAACAUCUUGCGGGUCCCCAUGGCCAGCUGUGACUUCUCCAUCCGCACCUACACCUAUGCUGACACCCCUGAUGACUUCCAGUUGCUCAACUUCAGCCUCCCAGAGGAAGAUGUCAAGCUCAAGAUACCCCUGAUUCACCAAGCCCUGGAGUUGGCCCAGCGCCCUGUCUCACUCUUUGCCAGUCCCUGGACAUCACCCACUUGGCUCAAGACCAAUGGGGCAGUGAAUGGGAAGGGGACACUCAAGGGUCAUCCAGGGGAUCUCUACCACCAGACCUGGGCCAGAUACUUUGUCAAGUUCCUGGAUGCCUAUGCUGAGCACAAGUUACAGUUCUGGGCAGUGACAGCUGAGAACGAGCCUUCUGCAGGGCUAUUUAGCGGGUACCCCUUCCAGUGCCUGGGCUUCACCCCUGAACACCAGCGAGACUUCAUCGCCCGUGACCUGGGCCCCACCCUGGCCAACAGUACACACCGCAACGUCCGACUGCUCAUGCUAGAUGACCAACGCCUGCUGCUGCCCCACUGGGCCCAGGUGGUGCUGGCAGACCCAGAAGCAGCUAAGUAUGUUCAUGGCAUCGCUGUACAUUGGUACCUGGACUUUCUGGCUCCAGCAAAAGCCACCCUGGGGGAGACACAUCGCCUGUUCCCCGACACCAUGCUCUUUGCCUCAGAGGCCUGUGUGGGCUCCAAGUUCUGGGAGCAGAGCGUGCGGCUGGGCUCCUGGGAUCGAGGGAUGCAGUACAGCCACAGCAUCAUCACGAACCUCCUCUACCAUGUGGUCGGCUGGACUGACUGGAACCUCGCCCUAAACCCUGAGGGGGGACCCAAUUGGGUGCGCAACUUUGUCGACAGCCCCAUCAUUGUGGACAUCGCCAAGGACACAUUUUACAAACAGCCCAUGUUUUACCACCUUGGCCACUUCAGCAAGUUCAUUCCUGAAGGAUCUCAGAGAGUGGGGCUGGUUGCCAGUGAGAAGAAUGACUUGGACACAGUGGCACUGAUACAUCCCGAUGGCUCUGCAGUUGUGGUCGUGCUAAACCGCUCCUCUAAGGAUGUGCCUCUUACCAUCAAGGAUCCUGCCGUGGGCUUCGUGGAAGCUAUCUCACCCGGCUACUCCAUUCACACCUACCUGUGGCGUCGCCAGUGAUGGAACAGAUACCCAAGCAGGUGCCUAGGCUCAGCAUGGACAUUGAAGGGAUAGUCAGCUCACAUGCUGUCUGUGGCUACAGAGGGUACAGCAGGACUGGGGGGGAGCUUACGUGACGUAAGCCCAGAGGCAGUGGUUUGGGUGACUCACUCUCCCCUCUAGUUGGUGCCAGGGGCUGGAGGCCCCUAGGGAAAGGACCGGGAGGCCCCAGUGGUCCUCCACCCCCAUGCUUGUGUGAGCGUGUGCUGUGUGCUGGUUGCCUGUGGAAACUGGGCCCAGGCCCAGGGUGAGCUCACUGUCUGUACAAACACAGGGGUGGGGGGGUGGAUGGCAAGAGAGAUAAAGGAAAGGAAGAGACUAGGAAAGCUGAACCCAAAACUGGGAAGUGCUUGUCUUUCUUGGAGAUGCAGAACCAGGUCCAUGCAGAUGUCAGCACCAGGGCACAGGCAGUGAAAGAAGUCAAGCACCAGUGGGUAGACUCAAGCACCCAGAUAGCCCCCUUGGUCCAGCGAGGAAAAAUGGCAGCCUCUUAAAGGAGAGAAUGUCUGAUCCCAGUCAGUGUGAGCAGUUUUAUUCUGGGGGUGGGACCCCAUUUCCAGCCAUACCAACAAUGGGGAAACACAGGAGCCUCUGGAAUGCAUGACAGUAGAAAAAUCAGUCCUGGGAGCAUGAGGAUAAAUCAUUCCUCUUCAACCUCCUCAGCCAUGCCCAGGGCCCGUGUGCGUGGGGCCCGGGCAGGUGGUGCCCGCUGGAUGGAGACAAUGCCACUGAGCAAGGCAUAACCCGCCAUGGCUGCCAGCCCCGCCAACACGGAUAGGAUCUGGUUCCGGCGCCGAUAUGGCUCCUCCUCAGUCUCUGGGUUUGCUGGUGUCUGGCGUGGAGGUGGCACCUCAGCUGAGGGGCAAGGAAGGAAGCAGGCAGAAGUCAUUGUGCCUCCAGAUGCCUUGACAGUGGCCUAGCUGAAUCUCUACCCUGCUACUUACUACAUCACAGCAACAUGUCUGUGUCUCCUCAACCAGACUAUAUGUUCCUUGAAGCUCGGUCCCCUGUGUCUGGUUUGGCAUAUAUUUGGUACUCAAUAAAUGUGUGUUGCACUGAA